AUAUAUAUAUAUAGUAGUCUAUUCAUUAUCCCUUGCAUCCUGCAAAGCAAAUAUGUUUCUGUUUUUUUUUGUUGUUUUGUUUUUUUAUCUGUUUGCCAUCACAUAGAAUGAAAAUCUGUCACCUAAGCUGUGAUAACAGAAUGAAACAUGCUUUGAAGAGGAUUAUUUGUAUUGUUAGAAUCCAAAUAGCUUGUCACACAUGGAAAAUGGCAGUCGCUGCUUUGGGAAUCUAUCUGAAAAUGGAGAUGGUCAGAGUAAAAGGUUACAGAGUGCCUUACAGUAGCAGAAUAUAAAGGCAUCUCACAGUCUCACAUAUAAAAGGCGACACACAGUCAGGCCAGGCUGACACUGUAUAACACUGGCAGAUGCAGAAGCCAGGCUUUACUGCAUACCUCCAUUUUCUUUAGCUAUGUGCACAAAAAUCUCCAUCUUCAGGGAGAGAGGCGUCGUUUUUCGGUCGCUGUGUCUCCCCCCCACACUGCGAUGUCACAUCUCUUCCACAGCGAGGCUCAAAUACAUAGCGCGUGCCGACGACGCACACAAAUAGCAAACUCCGCGUUUCUAAUGACAUCAUCAUUACCUUAACACUCCCGCUGGUCCGAGACCUUUGACCUUGUGUGGUUGGUCCAGAUUUUUUUAGUGGAUGGCCGUCCCCUCCCCUUAAGUUCCCCCCCUUUAGUCCCUGAGAUGGCCCUAUUGCCUUUCCUCAGACCGUUGGUGGCAGCGGCGAGACGGACAGCGGAAUUUCUCCUCCACUCGCUUUAUUACGGCACCUUUUUUUUCUCCCCCUUUGCGAUAAAUGCUUUUCCGCACACGGAACCCGUAACCCAUCGUCAAAAUGAUGCAACGAAAAAAUGGAAAAGAAGCACGAGCUCUAUAUGUUGUGGCGCCACCGACGCGGUGUUAUUCAUAUGUUCACUCUUCCUCCGGAAUCGGAUUUCUCCUUUUGUAAAGUGGCCGCCGGUUCCGCGGGAUACCGAUCACCGCCUGCGCAGUCUAAUAGGACCAGAGGAGGCUUUUGUAAAAAAAAAAAAAAAAAAAAAAAAAAAAAUUGCAAUGCAAAUGAGGGCCUGUGCAAGGAUGGCUGCACCUUCCUCACCGCUCUCUCUCUCUCUCUCUCUCUCUCUCUCUCUCCAACUCUAAUAUUGGUUUAUGUCACGAGUCCGGGGGAUUACAGCAUAUUCCAGGCUAUAACGUGCUUUUUUUUUUUUUUUUUUUUUUUUUUUUUUUUUUAAACUUCUGAGGAAAGCGUUAUUUUUAGCUCCACUUUGCGAUCAUAGGCUAGUUGUGGACAACACGGGACGACUUUGAUAAUUAAGGAGUUGCUUUGACAACUUCACUAUGUGGAUGUGCACCAUCGAAGACCACGAGGCUUCUGGAACGGAUUACUGUCACGGGAUUGAACUGGAAGCGAGUUGUUAUCUUUGGUUAUCUAGCUGUAUGAGUGUGUUGGCCGUCAUAAAGCUAGAUAACCGAAAGUAAAAACUGCCUCCAUGCUCAUCGACCUCUGUGCAUGCUGCAAGACUUGAUGGCUUUCAGAAAGUGUGUGAUUCAUGUGAUGUGAUGUGAUGUGAUGUGAUGCAAACAUUCAAAAGUUUUACACUGCGAAAUGACUGAGGGUGGUGGGGAUCUUCUAUGGAGUUGAGGAUAUUUUUAAAUCUCUCUCUCUCUCUCUCUCUCUCUCUCUCUCUCUCUCCCACAGACACACUGUUUUUUGUUUGUUUGUUUGUUUGUUUGUUUGUUUGGGGUUUUUUUGCUUUAUUUAAUGUAGUUGAUCCAGGGAUGAAGAAUUCCUUCUUACAAAGAUUGCACGAACUUCUAGCCUAUAUGUGACAAUACUUCUGAAAAAAAAAGACUUUUUUAUUGCAGAAGUCACGUGCACGCCUUGCUUUGCACGGUUUAUUUUUAUUUUUUAUUUUUGUUCUGUCGCCCUUGGCCAGGAAACGGCGCUGGCAUCCCAAACAGAAAUAAUUAGGACUACCAGAGAAAAAAAAACCCUGAGAGCGUGAACUGUUCAGGUGCAGGGUCUGACUGAGACUCAGUGCAGAGUGUAACGGCUGCCUUGCCCUUUGAAUGAGUCCUUGUUGCCAAGACAUGACAUAUCAAUGUCGUGCUAAGCACACGAAGCAAGAUAAAUAGGCUAGACUAAACAAAAUAACUCACUAUUUGCACUUUUAAUUGUGGAGAUUCAUGCUGUUCAUGUGGCCAGUUUCUCACAUUACUGCAGAGAAAUCAGAGUGUAACAGCUCGGUAAUUUUUCCCCUCAUAGCCCAUGCCAUUUUACUCAUCAGUCUAAUCAGGUUAACGGUGGAUAAAAAAUUUACAUACAAGUCAAGCCUUCUUGUUUACACAUUAAUUUUUGUUUGCGCUAAUCAAUUUAGAUGAUUCUUUAAAAUAUUUUUUUCCUCGAGCCUUUGCUGUUUGGCCCUUUAUUUCACCUAUUCUAAACGAGUCUUUCUGGCACAGAGGUUGGAAAGUCAUUCGAAUCUGCUCUAAAUGUGACCGCUGCGAUUUAAUGUAGGGAUGUACCGCAGAAAGGUGGUGAGUGGACUGGAAUCUCUUCAAAUUAUAUUUUGAAGGAGUCUUUCAUUAUGACAGUGCCACAUAUUCUGAGUGAUAGAAAUGGGUCACAUUUUUCAAGGAUAUCAGUAUUCCAGCCAGCCAGUAUAUGCUCUGUAUAGAAUAGCUGCUGCAGUGAUAUGCUCCUUAGAAAAAUGCAUGCUGGGAUUUCUCUUAAGGUUUAUGCCCUUCUGUUCCAUAGCUGACAUAUAAUAUUUCACAAAGGAGAAAGGAGAUCAAAAUUAAACGAGAUUACUGUCCAUUCCUUCUCUGCUGGACAUUUGAUGUGUACGUAUGACCAUGUUAUGUAUGAGGUUUACAGAGAUCACUUCAGCGCAUAACUGCAAGUGUAAUGAAUGUUCAUGCGCUAGGCUACCCAGUAUGAAAGAUUUUCUUGAUUGUGUGUGUGUGUAUGUGUGUGUGUGUGUCUUGGGCACAUUUACAGUGAACAGGGGAAAAAAUCCUGCCUUUUUGAUUGGCUGAAUAGUAUAACCAUGGCGACCAAGGCAGCUUAUAAGUAUUCAUUGGGUGAGCAAUCUUCAUAUUUUGGACUACUCCACUUCCCUCAAAUGCCAAGGCCUCCUGUCUGGCUGUUUCUGCUGCCCUUGAUAGUAGGACAUCUCCGAUUCACAUCCAUUUAUAUUUUUUAAAAUGUCUUUACCAUGGACCUUCUUGAUGCCAAUAUGCUGUAAUGGCAAAUCUGAACUUUAUAUUUAUAUGAUAUUGGAUGUUAAAUCCAUUAUUUCACCUACAACUUAUAUACACUAAUAUACAGUUUAUGUAGUGCAUGUACUGUAUGGAUAUUUGAUUGUGUCAAGAUGCUUUAUGUUAGAGAUGACUUGUUAUAAUAUUUCUUAAUAACAUUAAGAUAACAAGAGAAGGCAAUAUGGUAAUAAUUAUAUAUAUAUAUAUAUAUA
ensembl:lncRNA